GAUGAACGCUGGCGGCGUGCCUAAUACAUGCAAGUCGAGCGAACAGACGAGUAGCUUGCUCCUCUGACGUUAGCGGCGGACGUGUGAGUAACACGUGGAUAACCUACCUAUAAGACUGGGAUAACUUCGGUAAGCCGGAGCUAAUACCGGAUAAUAUAUUGAACCGCAUUGUUCAAUAGUGAAAGACGGUUUUGCUGUCACUUAUAGAUGGUUCCGCGCCGCAUUAGCUAGUUGGUAAGGUAACGGCUUACCAAGGCGACGAUGCGUAGCCGACCUGAGAGGGUGAUCGGCCACACUAGAACUGAGACGCGGUCCAGACUCCUACGGGACGCAGCAGUAGGGAAUCUUCCGCAAUGGGCGGAAGCCUGACGGAGCCACGCCGCGUGAGUGAUGAAGGUCUUCGGAUCGGAAAACUCUGUUAUUAGGGAAAAACAAAUGUGUAAGUAACUAUGCACGUCUUGACGGUACCUAAUCAGAAAGCCACGGCUAACUACGUG
rnacentral:rRNA from 1 species